UGGGGAAUAUUGGACAAUGGGCGCAAGCCUGAUCCAGCCAUGCCGCGUGAGUGACGAAGGUCUUCGGAUUGUAAAACUCUUUUGGCGGGGACGAUAAUGACGGUACCCGCAGAAUAAGCCCCGGCUAACUUCGUGCCAGCAGCCGCGGUAAUACGAAGGGGGCUAGCGUUGUUCGGAAUCACUGGGCGUAAAGCGCACGUAGGCGGAUGUGCCAGUCAGGGGUGAAAUCCCGGAGCUCAACUCCGGAACUGCCUCUGAUACAGCACGUCUUGAGUUCGAGAGAGGUGGGUGGAAUUCCUAGUGUAGAGGUGAAAUUCGUAGAUAUUAGGAAGAACACCGGUGGCGAAGGCGGCCCACUGGCUCGAUACUGACGCUGAGGUGCGAAAGCGUGGGGAGCAAACAGGAUUAGAUACCCAUGUAGUCCCUGAGCGGGCUGGCAAGGCGCAU
rnacentral:rRNA from 1 species